CCUACGGGUGGCAGCAGUGAGGAAUAUUGGUCAAUGGGCGCGAGCCUGAACCAGCCAAGUAGCGUGAAGGAUGACUGCCCUACGGGUUGUAAACUUCGUUUAUAAAGGAAUAAAGUGAGGCAAGUGUGCCUUUUUGUAUGUACGUUAUGAAUAAGGAUAGGCGAACUCCGAGCCAGCAGCCGCGGUAAUACGGAGGAUCCGAGCGUUAUACGGAUUGAUUGGGUUUAACGGGAGCGUAGAUGGGUUGUUAAGUCCGUUGUGAAAGUUUGCGGCUCAACCGUAAAAUUGCAAUUGAUACUGGCAGUCUUGAGUACAGUUGAGGUAGGCGGACUUCGUGGUGUAGCGGU
rnacentral:rRNA from 1 species